CUGAACAUACAAAUAGCCAUACGUUCGUAUAUCCAUACACCAUUCACCACAGGUUCAUAUACAGAGAUUUGAACAUGAAUCCACAACUAUCAGUUGAAAUGUUUCCUACCCGAAAAUCUGUUUUGAAUACUAAGUUAUGAAAGUCACGAGAAAACCUUUUCAAAGCCGUUUCCCACACGGAAACCCUUUUGAUUAAAAACACGCUACCACGAGAGGUAGAAAACCAUUUCAGUUUACAACACCAUAAUUCUUUUAAUACGAAAUCUCGAUUAUACAAAUGGAAUAACAAAAUUGAACCAGUAGCUGUCUAAGUCAAAUAAUCAGAAAUAACAAAAGUAGCAACUAAACUAAACAAACCAGGUCGGAAGCUCUAUCGACCUCUAUCAACGUGUCUCGUCUCAACUCUC
rnacentral:lncRNA from 1 species